CACUUAAAAACUAUUUUAAUUCAUUCAUAUUGUUUUAAAUUCAUGUGAAACUAUUGAAAAUCCAUUAAAAAAACAAUAUAAUCCAAUAUACAUUGAAGUUAAAUAUAACAGAACAGAAAAAACGAAAAAACCGUAAAAUGCAGAGGGGAGUAUAAAUAGGAAGCGCUGAGUCACAGAGCUCAUUCGGGAGCUGACCAGCGAAGGGGAAGCAUCUCUUGCUCACUGCUCUAGCCAGCCAGCUCUAUUUUUGUAGUGUGCCUCACCUGAAGAAGGCCUCGAGGAGGCCGAAACGUCGUAUAAACAGGCACACCUUCCUUUGUUUGUUUAUUUUUUAUUUCUUAUUUACAUUUUAAAAUUUACCAAUUCCGUAUACGGAAUUUCCUUUCCAAGGGAAAGCGCCCUAAGUUGUUUGUUUUUCUUUUUUCUUUGUUUUAAAAUUUUAUUUACGGACUAUUCUUUCCACGUGAAAGCGCCUUUAGUUGUUUGUUUUUUUCCUUUCUCUUAAAAAAUAUUUUAUUUUGAGAAAGGAAAUAACAUGGAUGAGGACUGGGUUGUGGUGCGACAUGGCAGAGGACGCCGUCGUGCCCCCCAGCCAAGAUGGGACCGGGGUCCCGGUUAUGAUGGAGGGUGGAUGGACCGUGCACGGUCCUUCUCCUCCGGGAGGGGACAAACUCCUCCACCUAACCCUCUACUCUUUCCCUCGACCUAACCCUUUAUUCUCCUAUAUGAAGGUUCUCCUGGAGUUUAUUCUCCAAAAUAAAGGUUCUCCUGUAGUUUAUUCUCCAAUAUGAAGGUUCUCUUGUAGUUUAUUCUCCAAAAUAAAGGUUCUCCUGUAGUUUAUUCUCCUGUAGUUUAUUCUUCUAUAUAAAGGUUCUCCUGUCAUUUAUUCUCCGAUAUAAAGGUUCUCCUGUCGUUUAUUCUCCGAUAUAAAGGUUCUCCUGUAGUUUAUUCUCCGAUAUAAAGGUUCUCCUGUAGUUUAUUCUCCGAUAUAAAGGUUCUCCUGUAGUUUAUUCUCCUAUAUAAAGGUUCUCCUGUAGUUUAUUCUCCUAUAUAAAGGUUCUCCUGUAGUUUAUUCUUCUAUAUAAAGGUUCUCCUGUAGUUUAUUCUCCUGUAUAAAUGUUCUCCUGUAGUUUAUUCUCCUAUAUAAAGGUUCUCCUGUAGUUUAUUCUCCUGUAUAAAUGUUCUCCUGUAGUUUAUUCUCCUAUAUAAAGGUUCUCCUGUAGUUUAUUCUCCUAUAUAAAGGUUCUCCUGUAGUUUAUUCUCCUAUAUAAAGGUUCUCUUGUAGUUUAUCCUCCUAUAUAAAUGUUCUCCUGUAGUUUAUUCUUCGAUAUAAAGGUUCUCCCGUAGUUUAUUCUCCUAUAUAAAGGUUCUCCUGUAGUUUAUUCUCCUAUAUAAAUGUUCUCCUGUAGUUUAUUCUUCUAUAUAAAGGUUCUCCUGUAGUUUAUUCUCCUGUAUAAAUGUUCUCCUGUAGUUUAUUCUCCUAUAUAAAGGUUCUCCUGUAGUUUAUUCUCCUAUAUAAAGGUUCUCUUGUAGUUUAUCCUCCUAUAUAAAUGUUCUCCUGUAGUUUAUCCUCCUAUAUAAAGGUUCUCCUGUAGUUUAUUCUUCGAUAUAAAGGUUCUCCCGUAGUUUAUUCUCCUAUAUAAAGGUUCUCCUGCAGUUUAUUCUCCGAUAUAAAGGUUCUCCUGUAGUUUAUUCUUCUAUAUAAAGGUUCUCCUGUAGUUUAUUCUCCUGUAUAAAUGUUCUCCUGUAGUUUAUUCUUCUAUAUAAAGGUUCUCCUGUAGUUUAUUCUCCUAUAUAAAGGUUCUCCUGUAGUUUAUUCUCCUAUAUAAAGGUUCUCCUGUAGUUUAUUCUCCUAUAUAAAGGUUCUCCUGUAGUUUAUUCUUCUAUAUAAAGGUUCUCCUGUAGUUUAUUCUCCUAUAUAAAGGUUCUCCCGUAAUUUAUUCUCCAAUAUAAAGGUUCUCCCGUAGUUUAUUCU